rnacentral:misc_RNA from 1 species
UUGUGGAGAAGGACGCCGAAGGUGGGGCUGAUGACUGGGGUGAAGUCGUAACAAGGUAGCCGUACCGGAAGGUGCGGCUGGAUCACCUCCUAACAGGGAGACAAUAAAUAGAUUGUGAUGUUUAAGUACUUAAUUCUUAAGCCGCAAUCCUGUCACCUUAAGGUCGAUCGGUACCUCAGGUUUUGAGUUAAUUUUAUAAUUAAUUCUUUGAUUUCAGUUCCUAAACUUGUCUAGGUCACACCCAACAAAGGUUUCUCCUGGGCCAUUAGCUCAGGUGGUUAGAGCGCACCCCUGAUAAGGGUGAGGUCCCUGGUUCAAGUCCAGGAUGGCCCAUUCGUUGUUGGGGGUAUAGCUCAGUUGGUAGAGCGCCUGCUUUGCAAGCAGGAUGUCAGCGGUUCGAGUCCGCUUACCUCCACUGAAAACUAUCCUUCUAACUAAAUUUCUGGAGAAGAAUUUGUAGAUGUGACUUAGAAAUGUCUCUUUGAAAAGAACCUAGCUUCUUAUCAUCUUUUUAUUAGUUGAUAAUAUGCUGGGCUCACAUGGAUUUAUUUCCAUGAGAAUUCAGUAGAACCUUGAAAACUGCAUAGAUUAGAAAGAAUAAAGCAUCUCAUGGAUGCAUAAUUCUGUUUUAAUAAUUUAGCUUAAAACUAAAUUAUUAUAUAUAGAAUUCAUGUUUAAUUCUUGAGUAAUAGCCGAGCACAAUGAUUUGUGAUUGUAUUAAGGUCAAGCUACAA